rnacentral:rRNA from 1 species
AGAGUUUGAUCAUGGCUCAGGAUGAACGCUAGCGGUGUGUUUUAGGUAUGCAAGUUGAGCGACGGCCCUUCGGGGUACGGAGCGGCAGACGGGUGAGUAACGCGUAGGAAUUUACCCCAAAGAGGAGCAUAGCCAGCCGAAAGGUUGGGUAAUUCUCCAUAGUUCCCGCAUUUUGCGGGAUAAAGGAUGUAACUAUUCGCUUUGGGAGAAGCCUGCGUCUUAUCAGCUUGUUGGUAGGGUAAUGGCCUACCAAGGCUACGACGGGUAGCUGAUGUGAGAGCACGACCAGCCACAGGGUUACUGGGACACGGAGCCCACGUCUACGGACGGCAGCAACCGAGAAUCUUGCGCAAUGGGCGAAAGCCUGACGCAGCGACACCGCGUGAAGGAUGAAGGCCUUAGGGUUGUAAACUUCUUUUCUAGAGGAAUAUGAUGAAGGUACUUUAGGAAUAAGCACCUGCAAACUACGUGCCAGCAGCCGCGGUAAUACGUAGGGUGCAAGCGUUAUCCGGAUUUAUUGGGCGUA